rnacentral:rRNA from 2 species
AGAGUUUGAUCCUGGCUCAGGACGAACGCUGGCGGCGUGCCUAAUACAUGCAAGUCGAACGAACUCUGGUAUUGAUUGGUGCUUGCAUCAUGAUUUACAUUUGAGUGAGUGGCGAACUGGUGAGUAACACGUGGGAAACCUACCCAGAAGCGGGGGAUAACACCUGGAAACAGAUGCUAAUACCGCAUAACAACUUGGACCGCAUGGUCCGAGCUUGAAAGAUGGCUUCGGCUAUCACUUUUGGAUGGUCCCGCGGCGUAUUAGCUAGAUGGUGGGGUAACGGCUCACCAUGGCAAUGAUACGUAGCCGACCUGAGAGGGUAAUCGGCCACAUUGGGACUGAGACACGGCCCAAACUCCUACGGGAGGCAGCAGUAGGGAAUCUUCCACAAUGGACGAAAGUCUGAUGGAGCAACGCCGCGUGAGUGAAGAAGGGUUUCGGCUCGUAAAACUCUGUUGUUAAAGAAGAACAUAUCUGAGAGUAACUGUUCAGGUAUUGACGGUAUUUAACCAGAAAGCCACGGCUAACUACGUGCCAGCAGCCGCGGUAAUACGUAGGUGGCAAGCGUUGUCCGGAUUUAUCGCGCGUAAAGCGAGCGCAGGCGGUUUUUUAAGUCUGAUGUGAAAGCCUUCGGCUCAACCGAAGAAGUGCAUCGGAAACUGGGAAACUUGAGUGCAGAAGAGGACAGUGGAACUCCAUGUGUAGCGGUGAAAUGCGUAGAUAUAUGGAAGAACACCAGUGGCGAAGGCGGCUGUCUGGUCUGUAACUGACGCUGAGGCUCGAAAGUAUGGGUAGCAAACAGGAUUAGAUACCCUGGUAGUCCAUACCGUAAACGAUGAAUGCUAAGUGUUGGAGGGUUUCCGCCCUUCAGUGCUGCAGCUAACGCAUUAAGCAUUCCGCCUGGGGAGUACGGCCGCAAGGCUGAAACUCAAAGGAAUUGACGGGGGCCCGCACAAGCGGUGGAGCAUGUGGUUUAAUUCGAAGCUACGCGAAGAACCUUACCAGGUCUUGACAUACUAUGCAAAUCUAAGAGAUUAGACGUUCCCUUCGGGGACAUGGAUACAGGUGGUGCAUGGUUGUCGUCAGCUCGUGUCGUGAGAUGUUGGGUUAAGUCCCGCAACGAGCGCAACCCUUAUUAUCAGUUGCCAGCAUUAAGUUGGGCACUCUGGUGAGACUGCCGGUGACAAACCGGAGGAAGGUGGGGAUGACGUCAAAUCAUCAUGCCCCUUAUGACCUGGGCUACACACGUGCUACAAUGGAUGGUACAACGAGUUGCGAACUCGCGAGAGUAAGCUAAUCUCUUAAAGCCAUUCUCAGUUCGGAUUGUAGGCUGCAACUCGCCUACAUGAAGUCGGAAUCGCUAGUAAUCGCGGAUCAGCAUGCCGCGGUGAAUACGUUCCCGGGCCUUGUACACACCGCCCGUCACACCAUGAGAGUUUGUAACACCCAAAGUCGGUGGGGUAACCUUUUAGGAACCAGCCGCCUAAGGUGGGACAGAUGAUUAGGGUGAAGUCGUAACAAGGUAACC